GUACGAACUUGAAAUUAAGAAUGGUGGUUUCUCUAAUACUCGAAAUGUGUUAUAAUACAGAAUUUUAAAAAAAUCGUCCUAGGAUAAUGGGGACGGGUGCAGCCACUGUUAUAGAUAAAAUUAUGUAUACCUAUAAGUUAACGAUAAACCAUUUCUUACGAAAAAACGAUUCUGAGCGGAGUUCAAUUGAUAGUAUUGCUUGUCAACAAC